rnacentral:rRNA from 1 species
GAUAAACGCUGGCGGCGUGCUUAACACAUGCAAGUCGAACGAAGUUUUUCCUUCGGGAGCAACUUAGUGGCGGACGGGUGAGUAACGCGUGGGUAACCUGCCCUGUACAGGGGGACAACAGCUGGAAACGGCUGCUAAUACCCCAUAAGCACUUAGCACUGCAUGGUGCAUAGGGAAAAGGAGCAAUCCGGUACAGGAUGGACCCGCGUCUGAUUAGCCGGUUGGCAGGGUAACGGCCUACCAAAGCGACGAUCAGUAGCCGAUCUGAGAGGAUGUACGGCCACAUUGGGACUGAGACACGGCCCAGACUCCUACGGGAGGAAGCAGUGGGGAAUAGUGCACAAUGGAGGAAACUCUGAUGCAGCGACGCCGCGUGAGUGAAGAAGUAGUGCGGUAUGUAAAGCUCUAUCAGCAGGGAAGAAAAUGACGGUACCUGACUAAGAAGCACCGGCUAAAUACGUG